rnacentral:lncRNA from 1 species
AACAAUCUAAGGGGAGUGAUGUUCUCCACCUUAGCCCAAGCCUUUCGGCUGAAUGAAAAACAAAGGGGUACAACCCUUGACACUAUGCUGGAAAUUCAAUUGCUAAGAGAUGAUUGCCGGCCCUAAUGGCUCCUCUUAUAGGCCGAUUGCCUUGGCUUAUUUUGGACUUAAUUCAAAUGACAAAGGACUUCUAAUUCGGCCGCAAGGGCCUGACCAAACUUGGCCUUCUCUUGGCCAUGUGCUGCAUUGAGUUGGGCGCUUGGGAUUUGAUCUCGGUGUGGCCUGCGCGCGUGUCAUGAGCUGAGGCUGCCAUCUGCCCGUGCGCAGCCUGAUUUGGUUGCUGUGCUGGGCGGCUGGGCUGCGCUGCCUGAUUUGCUGUGAUAUCCUUCCUGAUUUGCAGGGCGCGCUGCUGUCUUCCUUGCUCCCAUGGAUCGCUGGCGUGGCUGUCCUCUGUGCGUCCAUCCUUCGGCCUGCUGCAUCCUGGCCGCCUGUGUCUUCUCCUGCCGGAUCCCUAUGGAAGAGCCCGCAGGCUCCUCCUUUGAUUCUGCGCGUGCGCUUUCCUUGUUUGGCCCGGCGCCGAUGUUGGGAUGCUUGCCAUGUGUCUCGGUCGGUUGGUUCUGGCCGGGCGCAAUCUGCUGAUGGUUUUCCUUGUUUGGCCUUGCGCGCGGAUGGUUGCCACUUGUCCUUGGGCGCGCUCUCGGUCGGGCUGACCGUGGCUUUCCUUGUUUGGCUCUUGGGCGUGCGCGCGCUGGCUGGUCCGGGUCCAAUGCGUGCGGGCUCGGUUGCCUUGCUGUGUCUUUGGCUGGGCUCGACCCGUGCGCUGUCCUUGGGCUCGUCUGGCGUGGGCGCGCUCGGCCGAAUGCAGCCUUGGCCGGUCCUUGCGCUUGCUGUGCUUCCUUGUGCGUGUGCGCCCAAGUGCGCACGCAUGGGCUGGUGCCCCUGGUUGCCGCUCGUGCCCAUGUGUUGGAGGGCGUCUCUCGGCCCGGAGCCGCCACACCAAGCCUAGCACCUUGGCUCCUUGCGGAUGCCUUAGAAUCGUAGGAACGCGGGCCGAACAGGUUACGUCGGGUGCUAUGCAAUCCUUAGGACGGUCGCAGAUGCAAGUCAAGGGGCGGGCCUACUGGCUGCAGCUUGUCCCGGCCCUUAGCUUGUUCGAAUGGAUGGACGCACUCCUUCGGAUGGUCGUGGGAAUCAAGACAAGGGGCGGGUCUACUGGUUGCAGCUUGGCCCGACCCUUGGCUUGAGAAGAAGACAAUCACUCAAUAGAAGAUAUGUAGAGGAAAGCUUGAUUGAUUGAUUCUAUUCCCAAAUGAAGCUACAAGCAAAAUAUCUAGAGGAAACUAUGAUGGGUCUCCCCUAGCCCAAGUCCAAGAGCAAGCUCAAGGACCGAAUACAAUAGGGCAAAGCUCUCCCAAGCCUAAGGCCGAAAUACACAAGGUUCUAAGGUGUUCAAAAGAUCCCUCACAAGCUUGCACAACACAUAUUUAUAGGCUCUUCAUGUGGAACAAACAACUAGUGGGAAGUGUGGCCUAGGUUGGCCAAGGUGUGGCAUAGGCUGGCCAAGGCCUUGGCUGCCCAAACUUGGCCAUGGCUGCCCAAGGCUGUCCAAAGGCUGUUGGUGGCUGGCAGGCCUUUGGCUGGCUUGCUGGGGGCUGUGGCAUGGCCCUUGGCAUGGCUGGCAGCAGGGCUGGUGGGCAGAAGUGGNN